GGAGAAGGAAGCGGAACGAAGCUUACCGUGGACCAGGAGAAGAUUUUGCUCGAAAAAUCAUCGGAGUUCGAAUAGGCGAAGGUAUUUCGACUUCCACCAUAGUAACGUGAUAAUUGUUGAAUGAAUGCAUCUCUCGAUUAUUGUUUAGCUAUUCGUCUGAACUCUUUGCAUUCUAUGUCUCUCUUUUCGUGUGCGAUUUGGUUUGAGUAGUGGUUUU
rnacentral:lncRNA from 1 species